UUCGCAAUGCCCGAAAGGGUGACGAAGCGACGCCGCGUGUGGGAAGAAGGCCUUCGGGUUGUAAACCACUGUCGGGAGUUAAGAAAUGUAAGGGUGUUAAUAGCGCCUUUGCUUGACUAAGGCUCCGGAGGAAGCCACGGCUAACUCUGUGCCAGCAGCCGCGGUAAUACAGAGGCAGCAAGCGUUGUUCGGAAUUAUUGGGCGUAAAGAGCACGUAGGCGGCUGUGUAAGUCGGUUGUGAAAGCCUUCUGCUUAACGGAAGAACAGCAUCCGAUACUGCAUAGCUCGAGUGCGGGAGGGGAGAGUGGAACUUCUGGUGGAGCGGUGAAAUGCGUAGAUAUCAGAAGGAACGCCGGCGGCGAAAGCGACUCUCUGGCCCGUAACUGACGCUGAGUGUGCGAAAGCUAGGGGAGCAAACGGGAUUAGAUACCCCGGUAGUCCUAGCCGUAAACGAUGGGCACUAAGUAGAGGGGUUUU
rnacentral:rRNA from 1 species